CCUUAACUCUUGUGUCAUCACUGUCAUUUGUCACAGGUGUGUGUUAAAAGAUGCACUCAAGCACUUUUGCAUUCCCUUGAAGUUGGAUGUCUUAUAAGACACAGAUACCCUGACUUCCUGUCCCUGCUAUGAGCUCUCGGGCUCUGCAUGUCUGUCCUCCUGCACACUGAAGCUCCAACAAGUAACAAUCGAACCUCUGCAGUAACAGCUUCAACAGCAGUGCUCCUACAUUUAGGUGUGGUUAAGU